AACGAACGCUGGCGGCAGGCCUAACACAUGCAAGUCGAGCGAGCAUUUCGGUGCUAGCGGCGGACGGGUGAGUAACGCGUGGGAACGUGCCCUUUUCUGCGGAAUAGUCCUGGGAAACUGGGGGUAAUACCGCAUACGCCCUUUUGGGGAAAGAUUUAUCGGAGAAGGAUCGGCCCGCGUUGGAUUAGGUAGUUGGUGGGGUAAUGGCCCACCAAGCCGACGAUCCAUAGCUGGUUUGAGAGGAUGAUCAGCCACACUGGGACUGAGACACGGCCCAGACUCCUACGGGAGGCAGCAGUGGGGAAUCUUAGACAAUGGGGGCAACCCUGAUCUAGCCAUGCCGCGUGAGUGAUGAAGGCCUUAGGGUGGUAAAGCUCUUUCAGCUGGGAAGAUAAUGACGGUACCAGCAGAAGAAGCCCCGGCUAACUCCGU
rnacentral:rRNA from 1 species